AAAUCGAGUGAAAAGUGUUCUUUCUGUAUUCAUGAAUCUGUCAUACAAAUAUUUUUAGUCAUAUGUUGCAUGGUGCAUUUUUGGUCCUCGUGCUAGAGACGCCUAGCUGUCACGUUGUUGACGCUGACGUCACGGUUUCCCAGGCAACAGAACUUGACAGCUGUUCUCCCAAGAGGCAUGAAAGAUUUUAAUCCACUCAGCCUGAGCAAGGGCCACAACACCAACACCUGAGGAAAACAUGGGCCUGUUGUCCAUUCUUCGGAGGCUGAAGCAGUCUCCAGAACAGGAGGUGCGCUUACUGUUGCUUGGCUUGGACAAUGCUGGCAAGACCACUCUGCUGAAACAGCUGGCAGCCGAAGAUAUCAGCCACAUCACCCCCACACAAGGCUUUAAUAUAAAGAGUAUUCAGUCGUCUGGCUUCAAGCUGAAUGUUUGGGACAUUGGAGGUCAGCGCAAGAUCCGCCCCUACUGGAGGAAUUAUUUUGAGAACACAGAUGUGCUGAUUUAUGUGAUUGACAGCUCAGACAGGAAAAGGUUUGAAGAGUCGAGUCUGGAGCUGGCUGAGUUGCUGGAGGAGGAAAAGCUUGCUGCUGUGCCACUGCUAAUCUUUGCCAACAAGCAGGAUCUGAUGACAGCCAGCCCAGCGUCUGAGCUGGCAGAGAGUCUCAAUCUGCACACUAUCCGGGAUCGCAUGUGGCAGGUCCAGGCCUGCUCAGCAGUCACUGCUGAGGGAGUGCAGGAUGGCAUGACCUGGGUUUGCAGAAAUAUAACGUUUCAGAAGAAAUAAUUCAGGAAGUAAAAGAGCCGUGAAGAAUUGCAGUUGCACUUUACAUUUGACCCACCGAGUCAUUUUAUGUCCAGGACAAGGAGAGCGGCUUAUGGCCACACCUACCAGAACCUACCAGCACGUGUUCUGCUCAGGUACAGAAGAAAUCUGUAUCAUGAGGAAAAUGACCAUAAAACAUGAACACUUGGACAUGCACGCAGGAAACCGACCACAAGACAUCUCUCUUGCAUACACAAUAAGCCAUACAGAUACACCUUGGCCAUUCAAUUACUCAACUUCUCACCUUGUUCACCAUGAUUUACCACAAGGCAAUUGCAUUUUCUGACUAUUUUUCUAUUUUGUCUUUUGCAGCACAUUUGCCACAAACCCCACUAAUCUGAACUGGCCGAGUGCUCCUCUGUGGUCCUAUAGGGCAUUUACAUACAAACCUUUUCCAGGACUAAUAGCUCUCCAAUACAAUUUGCAUUUAUAUAGCCCCCUUCAUACCAACAUGAUUUGGUGCCUUUGCCCAUGAUAAAAAUAAACCUCCUCCUUUGGCCUUGAGUUACUGCCCUGCUGCUGCUGGUAUGUGUGUUCGAGAGUGUCCCUCUACGUAUGUAAGGUUGGUUGAUUUUAAUAUGUCAGAGCUGCUUGAUCCUCAGAUGGAGACUGAAACAAGUGCAGAAAACCUCAAAAUGGACCUCAUAAUGAUUCAGCCCUCCGUAUGGGCGUUGGUCUCGUGGUAGUGUGUUCUCUUCUAUACAGUAAGACGGUGUAGUCUCUCAUUUGUCCAGGAAUGUACUAUACAGUACAUUUGAAUAUUGUUGAUACAGCAGCGUGGGACACUUGACCAGGGCAAAGAGUCACAAGGUAAAUAUUAAGCCACAAAAGAUUUUCUUAGACAAACUGAAAAAGGAAAUCUACCGUUAUUCAGUUAAAGCUGCUUUCAAUUUGCUCGUACAAACGCAUCCAACACUUUUACAAGGCUCUAUGGAGCAUACAUCAAAAGAGAAAAAAGUAAUGAAUAAGGAAAUUAAAGUCUACCAUGUGAGACUGAGAAUAAAAUGCCCCCUCUCACCCCUUUGGAGUGCUUAAUCAUUAACAUCUAACCAUGUGAUUAUCACCUAACCUGUAAAAAUGUACCCAAUUACAUAUAGAAGUACUCUGAUAAAUCUUUCUAAUUGUAUCUACCAACAGCAUCAGAAGGCAAAAGCUGUGAAGUGCCUUUAAACCCCAAAUGAAUAAAAUUGGAUUUACUAAAUAGAACGGUGGAUUGGAGCAACCAGUCCUUGUUACCCCUGGCUAUAUCAUAAGCGAGGUGAGAAGCAGUCAGGCCUGCAAAGGGCCAUAAAUCAUGGGACUUUCCCAGCUACUCAGGCCAGCACACCGGCCUCCCACACAGGGGAAACGAAGGGCAGAGUCUGAUUGACUCGCAGGGCCAGAGAGAGAAAAAGGGGGGCGAGAUCCUGUGACUUAAUUAAAGUGUUGUGUAUCUCACACAUUGUAACUACAGCUCAGUCACUUCAGUGCUACAGCAGUGUUGUCAGAUGCGUCAGUGUUGACUCAGAUGGUGAUUUGACUUAGAAGAAAGUAUUUCGACCUCAACCAGAUCUUUAAAAAAAAUAUGUAAUAUGCAAAAAUAUGUCAGUGGACAGAUGUUUUUACGUUCUACUUAUCUAAUGAUGGAAACCAGAUAAGUAGAGGCCAGGCAAAAUUCUCUAAUAGUGAUAAACCAGACUGGUACACUAGGUUUCACAUGUGACCAUGGUUCUCUGAGGUUCUAACGAAAAGAUGCUAUUUAGGUACAACAUGGGAAUUGAAAGGUCUAGCAUUUUUUGAGCUUGACCCAUACAAAGGAAUUAAAUUCAGGAUAUAUAGGACUUUUGCUGGAUCAAUUUUGACCAUUCUUUUUUAAUCUGUCUCUUGUGAGUCCCCGAAAUUGUCAGAGAUUAAGUGCAGUACUAAAUUGCUGGAGAACCCCUUUAUAGUGAUUUUCUGCAUUACCUGACUCAUGUGGGUCCCAUACAUCAGGAAUAUGUAACUGUGUGGGGAGAUCGUCUCACUGCCAUAAGGAACUACAUAUUUUGAGACUGUUGGUGAACCAAACGUAAACAUUUAUAUGCACUUUCAUAUGGCCUGUCAUGUAGAUGACCACACUGACAGAGCAGAUUUGUCUCUCUUCUUUCAGUAGGGGUAAAACCAUGAUUACAAUGGUAUUUCAACACAGGUGGUUCUGCAAUAUGAUAUAAAGCAAGGCAAACAUCUACAAUACACUAAUACAUCUGUGUAACAGCCUCUCAAAUAUGAAGAGUUGUUGCUUUUCUCUCUUUUAUUUCAUUGUAAAUUGAAUUUUUUUGGGUUUUGGACUGUUGGUCCGAGCAUACGAGCAAUGUGAAGGCAUCACCUGAGGCUCUGGGAAAUUGUGAGGGGCAUUUUUCCACAGUUUUUUGACAUUUCAUAGACCACAUGAUUAACCAAGAAAAUUAUUGGCAGAUUAAUCAAUAAUAAAAAUAAUCUAUAGUUGAUGAUGUAUUAUAAUAUUGUCAACAGUGUAUCAAUAAUGUCUUACAAGAGAACAUAUGUUACUGAUUAUUUGUCUAAACUGUAACGUUAAGGAGCAUAAGUAGUGGACUAGCUGCAGCUGAUUCACUCAGAUGCAUCUUUACUGUAACAGCAACCGUUGUAAUGUCAAAGUAAACUGUUCUUCUGCUCUCUCUUCAAAUUCAACUCCCAUGUACCUUGUAAGCUGCUAUGACCAAAACGAACCUGGCUCAUCUCUCCAGUAACCAUUACAGUGUUGGGGAUAGUUUUUUUGGCCAGCACAGCAUCCCUCCUGCCUCAUUCCCGAGCCAAUCUUUUAUGAUUAAGCAGAUAAGUGCUGGUACUGGAUGAUAAAACAAACAACAAAUGUCCACAUUCCUCCCAUAGCUCCUUUGAUGUGUGUGUGUAUGCCUUACCGCUUCAAAUCCCCUUUGCUAUAAUCAAACUGCAGAGUCAUAAACAGCGAGGGAUGGGGACUAUAAAAAUGAUCAGGAGGCUCUAUCAGCUGGGGGACAGAAGUUCACACCUCAGAGCGGGUCAGUCUCAGAGCGUGGAGGGGAGUCGGCCUGGGGGUCGGCCUGGCAGGGGGUCCGUGGCUUUGUUUGAUGCUCCUGUGACAGAAAGCAGAAAGGGAGAGAUAGCGUCAGGAUGAACCAAGAGCUUGUGUGGUAAUACAGUGGGAUGCUACCAGAAACUUUUCUGGAGGGUAUUAGUGAUUUAGCUAAUUCAGCAGGUAGAGCACUGGGAUCUGAGCAAAGUCAAACUAUGUAAGAAUCUGGGAUGAGUCUUUUCAGAUAAUGCUUCUGGCUUUUGGGGGUUUCCUGAACAGGUAAAUUGUAAUACAGUUUAUUACUUGAUCAGUUCUGGGAGUUCAUCAUUUUAUACCAGUUUUUGGCCAUGGUGGUGUUUAUAUGGUGGGAACCUCUAAACAUUUUGACUUUGCAUCAACAGCUGCUCACUCGGACAUUUUGCACGCACACCCUUGCAUUAGUGUGGUAAAAUUGGAUUCAUCUAUUUCUUAUUUUUCAAAACAGGUUACGGUGUAAUAUUCAUGAUGCUCAGAACAAAUUGUUCCCUGUUGAUGUGAAGAAUUUAACCAAAAAGUCAAGAUUUUGGUGUCUUAUAAGCACUGUAACUAUAAUCACAAUAAAUAACUACAUAUCUAACUG